UACGGAGGAUUCAAGCGUUAUCCGGAUUUAUUGGGUUUAAAGGGUGCGUAGGUUGUUUUUUAAGUCAGCGGUGAAAGUUUGUGGCUCAACCAUAAAAUUGCCGUUGAAACUGGAAGACUUGAGUGUGUUUGAGGUAGGCGGAAUGCGUGGUGUAGCGGUGAAAUGCAUAGAUAUCACGCAGAACCCCGAUUGCGAAGGCAGCGUACCGGCCGGUCACUGACGCUGAGGCACGAAAGCGCGGGUAUCGAACAGG
rnacentral:rRNA from 1 species